UGCAGCAUACCCACUUUGGUUUUUAAGUAUUAACCCUAGCCGUCAUGUAAACAGAACCCUUUCGUUCUAAUUAAGGUUUUGCUUUUCUUCUCUUUCUUGUAUCAAACCUUGUUCUAUUUUCAUCUUAUUAAGGUUCGGGUUCUGUUUAUGUUUUGAUUUGAUUAUUCUGCAAACGCUUGAUGGAAGUUGGAUCCAUUGGUUUUGGGGUUCGGUUUGAUAUGGGUCCGGUAGGUGAGUUCUUAGAGAUGGUUUUAUCUCUUCGAAUCCGGUUUUUUUCGAUCGUGGUUUCUCUGUUUAAAUUGAAAGGUAAAAACGGUAUCCACGUUGUUUGGAUAAUACGUCAUGCUUUGAAGGUAAAGUAGAAGAAGCAUGAUUGUUGGAAUAAUAAGUUGUGGAUGAUUUGUAGUUUUCCUUGCAAGAAAGGUAGGGUGGAUUGGACACUAAUAUGUUUUCCUUGCAAGGAAGGUAAGGUGGAUGACUGAACAACAUGUUGCUUUCACCUAUUAAGAUCAAUUUAGAACUACCAAUGUAUUUGAAAAACUUUGUUGUAUAUUCACGACAAUUCACAUUUAUCAUUUUAUGAUUGAGGAACUUGUUAACCAUUUGUUAAAAUUAUGUUAGAAACGUACAUCACCUUAUCUUUUUUCGGCAGAUCUUUUACUUGAUCCAUUGUCAAGAUUACAAAGAGAUUAGAUAGUUUGGUUUAAAUUAUCGAGGUUACAUGGAAAAAGAUUAGAUAGUUUUAUUUUGGUAAUUUAUUUUGUAGCAACAGAGUUCUCAUAUAGCGACUGCUUCCAUCGUGAUCAUACCCUCAUUUUCUUGUGGUGACCCCUUUUAUGGUGUUUUGUUUGUAGUGAACAGAAAAGUUUUUGUAAUUAUUUGUAUUUGUUUCUUUGUGUUUUGUUUGUAGUGAACAGAAAGUUUUUGUAAUUAUUUGUAUUUGUUUCUUUG